rnacentral:pre_miRNA from 1 species
CUACUACUCCCUCCGUCCGAAAAUACUUGUCAUUGAAAUGGAUGUAUCUAGAUGUAUUUUAGUUCUAGACACAUCCAUUUUGAUGACAAGUAAUUCCGGACGGAGUGAGUAUUAU